UGCUCCUGCGGCUGUAUCUGUCCGCCCUCGCCUAGCAGUUGUACAGAAGUGGAUUGUGAAUGUAAGCCUUUGAUAACCUCAGCCCAUCAGCAUUAUAGUCCUUGGGAUAGAUAGCAACUCUGCAAGCCUCUUCAGGGGAUGCACCAUGACAUCAGCAGUGAUUGACACUGGAGGCCCUGGCCUGGAGUUCGACAGCAAUGGGAUGAAAAACCACGAGGAAAAUGAGCCAGUCUCUGAAUUCCCAGCUGUGAUUGUGGAGCCAGUUCCUAGUGCCAGACUAGAACAGGGUUAUGCUGCUCAGGUCCUGGUUUAUGAUGACGAGACUUAUCUGAUGCAAGAUGUAGCAGAGGAACAAGAAAUUGAGACUGAAACUGUGGAAACAGGUAGACUUUAAUUUAUUUUUU